CAACUAUGAUUCACAUUGUGAUCUCGGUGGCAUUAAAUCUCUUCCCUCGACAGUGCAUGUCUUCAGCCUUCAACUAAACAGAGAGCAGCAUCCCAGGUAUUUGCCAUGGCUGCAGCAUGCUCCAGCUGGCUCAGAUCCUGAAGUGCUACCCUUUUGGACUUCAGACCGGCAUGAGCAUUCAGUGAUUCAACCAUAUUUGACUGUAUCUUAAUUGAAACAAAGUGACCAUUAAUCUCAUCAGGAAAAACCAAAUGCAACACAGGCAAGGUUGAUUAUGCAACAAACAAUCUGAAGAAAAAUGGAUGGUUAAAAAAGAGCAGACUAAAACUAGACUUCUAAAUGAGAUUUGCAGUGGUGUUGAGCACUUCUAAUCUGUAUUUGCACACAGCAAAAACAGCAGUGUGUGAAUCAAAGGAAGAGUAGAAGGAGAGGAUGAAACGAAGUGAGAGUCUCAAGCAGGAACAAAGAACUGAAGAUUUCAUUAGUGAUUAGUGGUCUCACUAUUUUGCUUUUCUGAGGAUAAAAAGAGGACUCUUGGAACAGAGCGGGCAGGGUACAAGUCCUCUAAAGCACUGUUCUGAAUGUUUGGCACAGUUCAACUAUUGUAAAAUCACCAUGUACAGGUAACAAUAAAGUUAUAAUAAAAUAAG